AACGUAGGACACGAGCGUUAUCCGGAGUUACUGGGCGUAAAGGGCGCGUAGGCGGCCAUUCAAGUGACGGGUGAAAGCCCUCGGCUUAACCGAGGAACUGCCUGUCAGACUGGAUGGCUUGAGACCGGGAGAGGUGAGUGGAAUUCCCAGUGUAGCGGUGAAAUGCGUAGAUAUUGGGAGGAACACCAGUGGCGAAGGCGGCUCAAUGGACCGGAACUGACGCUGAGGCGCGAAAGCGUGGGGAGCAAACAGG
rnacentral:rRNA from 1 species